GACCAAAUCUUGGUUAGAAACCUAGAACUUCCAGCCCCACUCUCCUGAAACUCUAGGUAGGGGAGAGAGGAUGGAGAUUGAGUUAAUAAUAAACCAUGCAUAUGUGAUGAAAUCUCCAUAAAACCCCUUAAUGAUGACGUCCAGAGAGUUUCCAGGCAGGUAAUGCUGCCACCAUGCCAAGAGGGUGAUGCACCCUAACCACAAGACAGACACCCCAGAACUCACCGUGUGAAACUCUUCAUCCAGCUGUUCAUCAGUAUCCUUCAUAACAUCCUUUCCAAUAUGCUAAUAUACGCAAGUUUCUGCUCCAGAGCCCCAUGUAGGAGAAAAGUACAUGGAGAUACCCUGAAGCACCCAGCAGCAUGCUCAUAUGGGAGCCAGGAUGAGGACACCUGUUCCUGAAGUUCUCCAAGGUUUCCAUAUCACAAGAAUGGCCUGAUUUUGUAAGAAUUUCCCCUAAAUUCGGAAGUCAAGCUGUAAAUCAUGGCUCCGGCACUGACCUCCUCUGGGACGUCAGGAAAGGCAUUAACCUGCCUGGUUUCCCUGUAUUCCUCCAGAAAAUGGAAGGCAUAGUUCAGUUCCCAGAUGCUGGGAGAGCUCUUUCACAACAUCUGCAAAGUUAGCUAAAGCUACUCAGCCAUGGGUGAUUUAGAAAUUCAAUACCUUGUUAUCUUUAUGGAUUGAAAUGGAUUUUUGAACACUGCUCUUGCAAGAUGGUCUUUCUUCAAAUACAUUAGCUACAUUUCUUCUUGGAUUGAGAACCAACAACAACAACUUACUGUUUAGGAGUUACCCAUGUUCUAAUACAAAGAGAUAUGGCAGUCA